rnacentral:rRNA from 1 species
UACAGAGGUCUCAAGCGUUGUUCGGAAUCACUGGGCGUAAAGGGUGCGUAGGCGGGUAUUUAAGUCGGGUGUGAAAGCCCCGGGCUCAACCUGGGAAUUGCAUUCGAGACUGAAUAGCUAGGGUACGGUAGAGGGAAGCGGAAUUUCCGGUGUAGCGGUGAAAUGCGUAGAUAUCGGAAGGAACAUCAGUGGCGAAAGCGGCUUCCUGGACCAGUACCGACGUUCAGGCACGAAAGCGUGGGGAGCAAACAGG